rnacentral:rRNA from 1 species
UGGGGAAUAUUGCACAAUGGGCGCAAGCCUGAUGCAGCCAUGCCGCGUGUGUGAAGAAGGCCUUCGGGUUGUAAAGCACUUUCAGCGAGGAGGAAGGCGUUAAGGUUAAUAACCUUAGCGAUUGACGUUACUCGCAGAAGAAGCACCGGCUAACUCCGUGCCAGCAGCCGCGGUAAUACGGAGGGUGCAAGCGUUAAUCGGAAUUACUGGGCGUAAAGCGCACGCAGGCGGUUUGUUAAGUCAGAUGUGAAAUCCCCGAGCUUAACUUGGGAACUGCAUUUGAAACUGGCAAGCUAGAGUCUUGUAGAGGGGGGUAGAAUUCCAGGUGUAGCGGUGAAAUGCGUAGAGAUCUGGAGGAAUACCGGUGGCGAAGGCGGCCCCCCUGGACAAAGACUGACGCUCAGGUGCGAAAGCGUGGGGCAGCAAACAGGAUUAGAUACCCUGGUAGUCCAGCGCUGUAAAC